UCCAGGACUCCUCCGCCCAUGGUCACCCUCCGCAUUAAAGAUAAGGAGGAAGAGGUGAAAGAUUAUUUACCAUCAGCUGGCCCCCCGGAGGUAAAGAAAAGGUGGAUUCUAGGAGGCUCACAUCCCUUUUCCAGGGCACCCACUGCGGAUGGGCCCACGGACCUGCCUACCCUGCGGGAGAAGUGAGACAGGUUCAGUGCACAAGGACACCCCCAAGAGGGGGGGGGGCUCUCACCAAUCUAGGGGUGUUUGUGGGUUGCCACCGUGACCGGAGAGGGGGAUGCGGUCCCAGAUGGCGACAUCCAGCGACUCAUGGGGUGGUCCCACACAAUACAGAAUUGUCCCACGUCCUGCCUCACUUGGGAACCUCCUGCUGGAGGGGCGCCUGGGUGGCUUGGUCGGUUAAGCGGCUGACUCUUGAUCUCAGCUCAGGUCAUGAUCUCACGUUUCGUGAGUUCGAGCCCGGGCAUCGGUGCAGAGCCCCGACAGCACAGGACCUUGCUUGGGAUUCUCUCUCUCCCUCUCUCUCUCUCUCUCUCUGCCCCUCCCCCACUGGUGCGCAUGAGCUCGCUCUCUCUCUCUCAGGUGAAAAAUCUUCUAAUCGUCGGAGUCUAGAACUCGACUCUGUUAUAUAUAUACAAAGUAUUUUCCUGUAUGGUUUAAUCUGUGCUGAAUACGCUUAUUUUUAAUCUUAAUUUUAGCUACCCACUCCUCUGCUCAACUCCUUGCAUGGCUUGUUUCCUGAUCUUUUUCUUCCUCUUGAGCCCAAACUUGUUCAGGAUAAGUAGGUGCCAGCAGCUGGCUCCCACAUCACGACUUUUAAAGUGGCCGUGCCGAAGCGCUUACAUGUGGAAACGCGCAUUGUUCUAUUAGAGAUUCCUUUGGCCAACGGCACAGGCAAGUUUAGUGAUGGGAGGGAUAGCUCGCAUUUACUCUGUGCUAGGCCUGCUGUCCCGAGCUCUUCCACGUGUGGUUUAUUCGAUCCCCACACAGCCCUCUGACGUCAGUACUAUGACGACACCCGGGUGACCGGUGGGGAAACUGAGGCACAAAGCAGGUGAGGAACUCGCCCAAGGGACAGCUGGGAAGCCGCAGAAGUGGGGUUUGACUCGAGCGUGUCUGGCUCUGGGCUCCACGCACCAAACCGCGAGACUCUCGAAGACCUCUCUCUUAUUACGUAAGUGUUUCACAUCAGCAGAGUAAAGGGAUAUUCCUAUCCCUCCUCCGGCUGGCUCACGGUGUCUCAAAUCCUUGUCCUGGUUCUGCUCUAGAUCCUCAUCAGAGACCACUUUGAAAACCCGAGUCAGGACGCCAUCCUCUUGACUCGUGCUUGAGAACUGUGUGAUGGCUCCUUCUGUACUUUUCACCCUGGCAGCCAGGAAACUCACCAUCACAGCCGUGAGUCGACUGCAGCCAACUGUCUCUCUCCCUCUCUCAUCCCUGUCUUCUGGUGCUACUGUCUCUCCCUCGGCUCUCUGAGGUUGCUGGUCCCUCGGUUCUGUUUCUAUAACACCUGCAAGGAAUUUUUAUGCUUCUAACACUCAGCUCCUUCCUGGACAUGCCCCUAUAAUUGGCAAAACCUGACAGAUCUGCAUGACUAGACUGUGCACAUGUGUGAAGGAAUUCUGGGUAGCCUCAAAUAAAUUAUGCAUGUGUGUGAACGAA